AUGAUUCCAAAAACUUUGUGUGAUUUGCUAGGUUUCCGUGAAUUUGAUGAUUGUUCUCUAAACUUGCACCUUGCGGAUUCCACUAUUAAGAAACCUAUGGAAAAGAUUAAUGAUGUUCUUAUUGUUACCAAUAGGAAUUAUGUGCCCGUAGAAUUCAUUUUUCUUGAUAUAGAUUGCAAUCCUUCAUGUUCUAUUAUUCUUGGUAGACCUUUCCUUAGAACGAUUGGUGCAAUUAUUGAUAUGAAGGAAGGGAAUAUUAGAUUUAAAUUUCCAUUAAGGAAAGGCAUGGAACACUUCCCUAUAAAGAAAGUUAAAUUACCAUAUGAAUCUAUUAUGAGAGCCACUUAUGGAUUUCCUACCAAAUAUGGCAAUACCUAG
rnacentral:rRNA from 1 species